CCUACGGGAGGCAGCAGUGGGGAAUUUUGGACAAUGGGCGCAUGCCUGAUCCAGCCAUGCCGCGUGUCUGAAGAAGGCCUUCGGGUUGUAAAGGACUUUUGUCCGGGAGCAAAUGCCUGGGUUAAUAGCAGGCGGGAAAUGAGCGUACCGGAAGAAUAAGCCCCCUAGCCCGGCUAACUUCGUGCCAGCAGCCGCGGUAAU
rnacentral:rRNA from 1 species